AGUGAACGCUGGCGGCAUGCCUAACACAUGCAAGUCGAACGGCAGCACAGUAAGUGGUUGCUCGUACGGGUGGCGAGUGGCGGACGGGUGAGGUAUACACCGGAAUCUACUUUUGCGUGGGGGCGAACGUAGGGAAACUUAUGCUAAUACCGCAUACGACCUGCGGGUGAAAGCACGGGAUCUUUGGACCUUUCGGGAUGGAAUGAGCCGAUGUCGGAUUAGCUAGUUGGCGGGGUAAAGGCCCACCAAGGCGACGAUCCGGAGCUGGUCUGAGAGGAUGACCAGCCACACUGGAACUGAGACACGGCCCAGACUCCUACGGGAGGCAGCAGUGGGGAAUAUUGGACAAUGGGCGAAAGCCUGAUCCAGCAAUACCGCGUGUGUGAAGAAGGCCUUCGGGUUGUAAAGCACUUUUGUCGGGAAAGAAAAGCAGCACGUUAAUACGGUGCUGUUAUGACGGUACCCGAAGAAUAAGCACCGGCUAACUUCGUG
rnacentral:rRNA from 1 species